GUCAUAAUACGUAGCUUUUUUAUUAUAUCCGCAAAACAAAUUGUAGAGUCAUAUUGCACGGAAAGCGUUGAACUUCAGCAUAGUGUUGUACCUGCCUUUCACUUUUCUAGUUGUCUUUUAGCGUCAAGGUAUUUCACAGUAGAUAAACAAAACAAUGAUUUGGAAAAUUAUAUUUUUGUUACCGUGUUUCAACGUUUUAGUAAACGCUGGUUGCAUGCAUUCAGGUGGGACAAGUGAUACAAUAAGGCGCCCGGAUCCGUUACACAGCCCAGAAUGGUUUAAUUCACUAGAAUUAAUCACCGAUGGGAUGAUAAAUUGGAGAUUAUUGGAAACUACACCUACCGAUGCUCAAAAAGAACCUAUAAGGCGCUACUUGCGAGAAAAUGGAUGGUCGACUAAUCUUACGGAAAGUCUUCUUUCGACGAGUUAUUAUCGGACAUGGCCUAAUCAAUUAAGAUCAGGUCAGGAACCUUAUUUUAACCGAAGCAAUAUGGAUAAAUUGACAUUAAGACGUUUACCAGGACUACCAGCAGUAAUCGCAGCCCCUUCUGAAAAUAGAAAUAUGCCUGUAACAGGAAUUCUAUUAAUUUUCAGAAGUCUAAAUUAAUAUAAAUUGUAUUUGAAUGAAUGAAUAAUUACAUGUUUAUAUCAAUGA